rnacentral:lncRNA from 1 species
UUUAGAUUGGUUGUGAUUUUCUGUACUUUAAUAAACCAACAUAAUCUCUGACUACAUUCUAAACAUUUAUCCUUCUGCCCACAGGUAACUGUACUCUUCAUGCCUCAUCAGGGAAACUUUAUAACAGACACAGAGAUCGUGUUUUAUAUUCUCUAUAUCUUUUAUACUUCCUUAACACAGUGAACUGUUCAAAGCACAUACAUAAUAAAUAUUGGUUGAAUCAAUACAGAUACAUAUUAGAAAGUAGGUGUCUCUGCCACCCAAGUGCUAGAAUUGAGACUGUGUGCCACAGUGCCAGGCCUGAGGGCAAUGAAAACUAAUCAACUCAAGUACCAACCACCAAAUGAUUAUUGCAUCCAAAUUAAAAUGAAUGAAGUAUUUAUGUCUAAACUUUCCAACACAUAAAGAUACCUCAGACACAUUGUUCAAGGAAGAUAUCAUGUGGCAAAAUUACACAUGUAAAAGAAUAAUCUCAUCUUUAAAAAAAUUAAAUGUAAAACAUGAAGUCUUCAUUUAAGUUCUUUCUGCUUUCUGUAAUUUACCAAAAGUCUUUGAAAUAUUUGUCACUUGUGAAAGAGAUAAACUUCUUUGGUUGUGACAGUUCUAAACUUUUUCUAUUGGUCUGUGGAUAUGAAACCUGAGAACAGUAUGUUCCCACUGUAGCCCAGUCCUCACAGCAUCCAUCCUGGCUCAGUACCCCUACAAGUGUCAAACCUGCUGUUAAGCAUCAGGCUUUAGACGGACAGCAGUAGUCAGUGUAGCAUACGGAGUCUGUUUCUUUCUGUCUUCUCACUUCAGAGUGCUCCUUUUGUCUUCUGAUGAUUUUUUGUUUAACAAAGAAUGAUAGAUCUCUGUCUUCUGGGGUACAAUGUCUAGACGGUGACCAAAAUUGAGGAGUUCCAAGUCUGACUUCAUAAUUGACAUAAUUCAAUCCUCUGUUUUGCUCAAGAAAAUUAAAACUAACUAACACAUCUCAGACAAGAGAACAAAAUGUAUGUGUGUGUAGAUGUGUGUGUGUGUGUGUGUGUGUGUGUGUGUGUGUGUGUGUGUGUGCGUGCACGAGUAAUGAUAAGUUACUAUUUAUGCAGUAUCAUUUUCCCUCUUAUGAAAUACAUUUUAGAUAUUUGGUUAUAUACUAUGACAUUUAAAUCUGCAUUUACUAUUAAUUCCCCAAGGGUUUUACUUGUCAUCUUGAUAACAUAUUAACCUAGCCCUUAGCAUAAUCAGGUUGUCUGCCUUUUAGCUUACUUGGAAUAAGAUUGACACAUCUCAGGUUGGAUGUAGCCAGUCAUGGUUAAUUGUGCAUAGUCAAGAGGUCAAGGAGGACUGGGUAUCAUUUUUAAUAAUCUGUACAAGUAAAUGUAGGUGCCUGCAUUUUAGCAUAAUCACACAUAACUGAUAUUUCUGGAUUUCCUUUGGUUAUUCUUUUAUCUGCUACUACGUUAUACUUUGUUCAAUAUUUAGCCACUAAUAAGAAGUGUCUGCAUGUCUUAUGGGAAUUCACAAGGAUUUUAAUUGCAUCACCUAGAUUGCUCCUCACUUCACUCUUGAAGCACAUGUCACCUCAGUUUUACAGAUAAGAGAACUGAAGUCCCUGGACUGCCUAACGCCAUACCCCAAUCAUAAGAAAAGCCAUGGCUUUGAAGCUGGAAACAUGGAGAUACUUCUAUUAGUGGAUUGAUUUGCUCCAAUUAUAUCUGCCCCUGAAGGCACUUCUAGUUGUUAAUAUUAAGAAAUAUUUUGAGGGCUCUAUGGUGAACCACUGGCAAUGUUUAUUCAAGGACAUAAAUUAAUGUUUAGAAACUUCACUUUUGGCUGAGCUCUGAAAUCCUUCAGCUUAGUCUUAUCUACCACAGUGGUCAUGAAAGGGAACAAGGGAAGUAUUUCAGAACUUCACUUCCAUAUAAAUGCCAGCUCCACAGAGGCAGUAGUUGGCCUCAUCAUCUAAAUAGAAUUUAGUUUGCUAUAUGUAAACAUAUAGCAAACUAGACCCAGCAAAGGGUAUAUGCCAGUAUAUUUCAUCAUUAUCUGCCAUGGUUAUGGAGUCUUUAUUAACUAUACACAGGUAAUGACCUUAUCAGCUGACUACUAGAGGAGACUCAUGUGAUCAAAGGAUACAGCAGCUGAGAGAAAACAUAAAUAUUAAUGGGUAAAACAAAUACAGAGACCCAUAGCAAGAUAAUAUGCAAAGAAUGAGGAACUCAGAAGCCUCAACCCUAAACAAGAUGCUUCCACCAAAAACUCCCCUGAGGGCUCAGCCCAGCAGAACUUGAGAGCCAGAGGGGAUGGAAGACAUUAAAGAAGCAAGGCCCUCCAAAUCAGCAUUAUGGAUGCACAUGUGAACUCACAGAGAGUGAGGCAGCAGGCACAGAGCCUGCACCAGAUGGUGUUCUAGAUUUGAAAUAGAAGUUGACACAUGCCCCUAUCCAGAACCCAGAAACUCUCUCUAAUUGAAAACCAAUUGCAAAUAAAAAUUUAGUUUUCUCCAUGGAAUCUCACUAGGAUAGCAACCUAUUGUUAUGAAUAGACAGCAUGCUCAGCCGGAGAUGGCCAAGAGAAAAUGUAUACUAUAGUGCCUUUGGAGGUCUUUGUCAUUUGUUGUUCUUAUUUAAUUCUAUUUUAUUUUAUUUGUUUGUUUAUUCAUCUAUUUAUAUCUCUUUUUACCCUACAGGUCCUUUGCAUAUAUAUAAUAGCUUCCGAUUUAGUGGUUUUUUUAAUGUGUAAAUAAAUGGGUCUGUUUCUUAUGCCUUCUCUUGGGCUCUUUCUUUGGUUUGUUUGCUUUGUCCUAUUUGAUGUGUUAGUUUUUGUUCUAUCUUACAUUAUUUUAUAUGAUCCCUUAGAAGCCUGUUUGUUUUCUAAUUACAGAGAGAAAGGUGGUGGAUCUGGAUGUAAGGAGAAGAGGGGAGGAACAGGGAAGAGUAGAGGGAUAGGAAAUUAUAAUCAGGACAUGUUAUAUAAGAAAAAGAAUAUAUUUUUAAUAAAAGGGAAAAUAAAAAUUAGAAAUUAAAAAAAAAAUACAACUGAGAGAUAACUCCUGAUUUUCUUUCUACUGUAGGCUUGCCUCUUCACUACCCCAGACCUUGAAAGAGGAGAGCACCUCUGCUGAAAACAUGUCUUUAGAAACCCUGAGAAACAGCAGCCCAGAAGAUCUCUUUGAUUAGAUAUAAACCCUAGAAAACAGCACUGGUGUUCAAUGAACUAUAUUCUUUAUCCAGUUCCUUUGGAUGAGAAGACAGGCUUUCAACUUAGCAGCCAUGGUUACUAUGUCUUGCAACUUUACUAUAUGUACCCAAUGAAUCAUACUAGUAUGUGACAGUCAGAUGGAAUGUCAGAGGGACACUUUUCUCCCUUUCUUAAUUAAAUCUGAGUUUUGUUGCAAAAGGCACAUAUAUCAUAUUUGUUUAUACAUUUUUGUAACUUUCUAAUUGACUCUUGGAAGAUUUUGGAAAUAGAACAAAAUAUCUUUAACACUUUUUUAGUUGCACUUUAAAUUAUCUUUGUUGAAGCAUUUAAUUUAUGAUGUGACACAUAUAAAAUACAUCUUUAUCUUGUGUGUAAACAGUCUGAAAUCUGAUAGUUAAUAAAAGUUUGUGUUCUCAAAAGAAUGUUAUUUAACUGAACUUUUUCUUUAUUUUGGUAACUUGUCUUCUUAAGUACUUACUCUUAGACAUCCUGUGUUCCGGUGAUAAUGGCCCCAUACCCAUGCACACACUGACAGUACUAAAUGGAUUAGUGGGUUAUC